rnacentral:rRNA from 1 species
UACGUAGGGUGCGAGCGUUGUCCGGAAUUAUUGGGCGUAAAGGGCUCGUAGGCGGUUUGUCGCGUCGGGAGUGAAAACCUUGGGCUUAACUCAGGGCUUGCUUUCGAUACGGGCAGACUAGAGGUAUGCAGGGGAGAACGGAAUUCCUGGUGUAGCGGUGAAAUGCGCAGAUAUCAGGAGGAACACCGGUGGCGAAGGCGGUUCUCUGGGCAUGAUCUGACGCUGAGUAGCGAAAGUGUGGGGAGCGAACAGG